AACGAACGCUGGCGGCAGGCUUAACACAUGCAAGUCGAGCGCCCCGCAAGGGGAGCGGCAGACGGGUGAGUAACGCGUGGGAAUCUACCGUGCCCUACGGAAUAGCUCCGGGAAACUGGAAUUAAUACCGUAUACGCCCUACGGGGGAAAGAUUUAUCGGGGUAUGAUGAGCCCGCGUUGGAUUAGCUAGUUGGUGGGGUAAAGGCCUACCAAGGCGACGAUCCAUAGCUGGUCUGAGAGGAUGUUCAGCCACAUUGGGACUGAGACACGGCCCAAACUCCUACGGGAGGCAGCAGUGGGGAAUAUUGGACAAUGGGCGCAAGCCUGAUCCAGCCAUGCCGCGUGAGUGAUGAAGGUCUUAGGAUUGUAAAGCUCUUUCACCGGUGAAGAUAAUGACGGUAACCGGAGAAGAAGCCCCGGCUAACUUCGUGCCAGCAGCCGCCGCCG
rnacentral:rRNA from 1 species